rnacentral:rRNA from 1 species
AGAGUUUGAUCCUGGCUCAGGACGAACGCUGGCGGCGUGCCUUACCCAUGCAAGUCGGACGGCGGAGCAAUCCGCAGUGGCAGACGGCUGAGUAACACGUGAGGACCUGUCCAGUUGAGGGGGAUAGCCGCUCGAAAGAGCGGGUAAUACCGCGUAAGCAGAGGGGGCGUAGGGCUCUCUCUGGAAAGCAGGGCAACCUGCGCGACUGGAGGGACUCGCGGCCCAUCAGGUAGUAGGUGGGGUGAAGGCCCACCUAGCCGAUGACGGGUAGCUGGUCUGAGAGGAUGGCCAGCCAGACUGGGACUGAGAGACGGCCCAGACUCCUACGGGGGGCAGCAGGGGGGGAUCUUGGUCAAUGGGGGAAACCCUGAACCAGCGACGCCGCGUGAGGGAAGAAGGUCUUUGGAUCGUAAACCUCUUUUGCCAGGGAAGAAGGGAGCCGAGAGGCUUCUUGACGGUACCUGGCGAAUAAGCCCCGGCUAACUACGUGCCAGCAGCCGCGGUAAUAC